CUCGGCGCGGGGCGCGGGCUCCGGGUUGGGGCGAGCCGACGCCGGGG
ensembl:miRNA